CAGCCGUAAACUAUGCUCGCUAGGUGUCAGGCAUGGCGCGACCGUGUCUGGUGCCGCAGGGAAGCCGUGAAGCGAGCCACCUGGGAAGUACGGCCGCAAGGCUGAACUUAAGGAAUUGGCGGGGGAGCACAACAACGGGUGGAGCCUGCGGUUUAAUUGGACUCAACGCCGGGAAGCUCACCGGAUAAGACAGCGGAAUGAUUGCCGGGCUGAAGACUCUGCAUGACUAGCUGAGAGGAGGUGCAUGGCGUAGACGU
rnacentral:rRNA from 1 species